rnacentral:tRNA from 1 species
GCGGGCGUGGUGGAAUGGUAGACACAAGGGACUUAAAAUCCCUCGGCCUUAGGCCAUGCGGGUUCGAGUCCCGCCGCCCGUACCA